rnacentral:tRNA from 1 species
AUUAAAGUGGCAGAUUAGUGCGAUGGAUUUAAGCUCCAUGGAAGAUGGAAUUCCUUUAGUA